rnacentral:rRNA from 1 species
GACGAACGCUGGCGGCGUGCUUAACACAUGCAAGUCGAACGCUGAAGCUUGGUGCUUGCACUGGGUGGAUGAGUGGCGAACGGGUGAGUAAUACGUGAGUAACCUGCCCUUGACUCUGGGAUAAGCCUGGGAAACUGGGUCUAAUACUGGAUACGACAUGUCACCGCAUGGUGGUGUGUGGAAAGGGUUUUACUGGUUUUGGAUGGGCUCACGGCCUAUCAGCUUGUUGGUGGGGUAAUGGCUCACCAAGGCGACGACGGGUAGCCGGCCUGAGAGGGUGACCGGCCACACUGGGACUGGGACACGGCCCAGACUCCUACGGGAGGCAGCAGUGGGGAAUAUUGCACAAUGGGCGGAAGCCUGAUGCAGCGACGCCGCGUGAGGGAGGACGGCCUUCGGGUUGUAAACCUCUUUCAGCACGGAAGAAGCGAAAGGGACGGAACGUGCAGAAGAAGCGCCGGCUAACUACGU